AUUACUAGUUGGACGGGUCUAACUCGGCUAGCAAGUUUACAAGUUUCCCUCAUCAGUAUGAAGUUAAACUGAGUGGAAAUAAAAUAAUAGUAAUACAAGUAAACUGCUUGAGGUUAGAUGGUUGAUAGUAUAAGUGCUGUUUCGGGUAUGCUGUAGUGCGAUACUAGUCAAAAUGUGAAUUUGGCGCGUCAUGUGUGCCAUAUAGAAAAUGCAUGCAUGCCCGCUUCAGACGGGCUUAACGUUCUUAUGAAGCUUUAUUAUUAUGAUUAUUAUUUGCUUAUGAUGAAACUCGCUUUCGCAUUGUACUCGUUUAACACUUAACGUUAGUUCUGCUUAACGUUACUUAGACUUACUAGACUGCGAGUAUCUUCCGAACGCUAACGUCUCUCAUUAAUGAUUAACGUUAACCCAAGCUAAGUGCGCGAAAGACAUAUCUUCACAUGAAGGCCCAAACACGUCUUGAAGUGACGUGCCUCAACACAUAUUUUAACAUAUCGCGUUUACCAGCAUGCCAUGUAAAGAAGUCGCAUGUUUAGAUUUAACGUUAUGUGAGCCAGUAUAUUAUAAAUAUCUUUGUCUUUUGUAGGAUGCGGUAACGUUACUGCUGAACAACUUUUCAGGGCAGGUUUUGAAUAAUCCAGGCACAUCAAAAAUUAACUCAAUGUGGAAAUGCAAAGACUGUGGCGUCACCAAAGCCAAGCGUUCUGAGCUUCUCAAGCAUUUUAAGCUUGAUCAUAGGCAUUUUGGACGUCAUCGUCCUUAUCCUUGUGUUUAUUCAGACUGUCCUUGUUCAUUUAAAACUUGGAGUUCUCUGAAGAGCCAUGUGUCAAGGAGGCAUCCUCAACAUCCCCCUCAAAAAGAUGCAUUGACAACUUAUAAAUGCAUGCUUUGUGAAUACAAACACACAUCAUUGUUUAAAGAUUACUUCCAUCACAUUGGGCAGCACCUGAAAAAUAAUGAAACUGUUCCUUGUGUUUUUAGUGGGUGCUCAUACAAAACCAAUAUUUCUGGAUCAUUUAGAACGCACAAGGCAAGAAAACACAAAUCGUUCUCCGAAGAGGACUUAAAGCCUGGCAUUGUUGUCAGUGAAAGACCAGUCCCUAUUUUUUCUGCAGAAGAUGACAUUGAAUCUGAUGAAUAUGUCUCAGCUGAUGAACCCACAUCCUCUGUUGUAAUAACAGAAAAUACUGAAGACUUGUCCAAAGCUAUAGAGCGCAAAUUAGCCUCAGUCCUAUUAAAGUUAGAGCAUGUUUUUCUUGUACCUGGUGUGGCCAUUGAUGACCUUUUGCAGGAGUUGCAGUAUUUAAUUAGUACAGUUUCAGUUCCAGAUGUUAAUCAAACUAUUCACCAGGUACUGCAGGAACAUAAUUUGCAGGUUGAUAAAGUUGUUGUAGAUGAGUUAGCCACCUUUCUUUGCCAGUCACAUCCAAUUCAAACAGCAAUCAGAGAGCAAGGUCCACUUUCCACUACAUGGAAACGGAAGGCAUACUACAAAGCCAAUUUUUCAGUAGUAAAGCCUGUAGAGUAUGUGCUUGAUCGGAGCGAUGGAAGGACAUUUCAGUACGUUCCAAUUCUACAAUCCCUGCAGCAACUUCUGAGUUGCCAGCCAAUACUUGAUAAUACACAUCAUUUAAAAUCAGUGUAUAAAGGAGAUGAAUCUAAAUAUACAUGUUUUUUUGAUUCACUCAACUUCCAAAGGAAUGAACUGCUUUCUGAACCUGCUAUAUCUUUAAUUUUGUAUGUUGAUGAAUUUGAGAUAUGUAACCCCCUUGGCACAUCCAGGAAAAAACACAAAGUUUUUGGAGUUUAUUGGAUAUUAGGCAAUUUACGUGAAGGAUGUCAGUCAUCCCUGUCUUCUAUAAAUUUAGCUGCUUUAAUUAAAAGCAGUGAUGUUAAGCGUUUUGGGUAUGACAAAGUGCUGGAACCAUUGAUUGAUGAUCUUGUCACGUUGGAGAGACAUGGACUUUUCAUUGAAAAACUGGGAAAAAUUGUGAAGGGCACAGUUCAAUGUAUUGUUGCCGACAAUCUUGGUGCUCACAGUAUUGCAGGAUUUGUGGAAAAUUUCUCUGGAAAAUAUGUCUGCAGAUUUUGUACAGCAGAGAAAGAAGAAUAUCAGACUAAAGAAGUUGGAUCAGAAACAUUCCGCAUCAGAACUGAAGAACUACAUUCUGCUCAUCUUCAGUUUAUCAAAGACAAUGACUUGCCUCACCAUUUUGGUGUAAAAGGUGAUUGUGUUUUUUCAGAUAAAUUAUCACACUUCAAUGUUUGCACAGGAUUCCCGGCUGAUAUUGUGCAUGAUCUCUUUGAGGGCAUUGUCCCUCUUGAGAUAGCUUUGUCCUUGACUGUCUUUUCAUCUAAAAAGUAUUUCACCUUGGAACACCUUAAUAAAGCAAUUCAGAACUUUCCAUUCAAAUGGAAUGACAAGAGAAACCACCCCCAUACUGUUCCUCUCACAUUUUCUGCAAGAAGAACAAUAGGGGGUAAUGCCCAUGAAAAUUGGAGCCUGUUGAGAUUUUUUCCUUUUUUGAUUGGAGACAGAGUGCCUGUCAAUGAACCUGCAUGGCAACUUCUAAAUGAUUUAAAAGAUAUUGUAGAUCUUGUUGUCGCUCCUUCACACACCAAAGCUUCUAUAGCGUAUCUGGCCUUCAAGAUAUCUGAGCAUAGGAUCAGAUUCCAAGAGCUUUUCCCUGAGACUAAACUUUUGCCCAAACACCACUUGUUGCUUUGUGGACAAUGCAAUUCGAGGCUAAGCAUAGCUUCUUUAAAAGAGUUGUGCGUCAUACCAACUGCUUCAAGAAUGUGCUCCUAUCGUUGUCACAAAGACAUCAGUUUCAUAUGGCAUAUCAUAUGUAUCAGUGCAGCUCUCUUACACCAAGAUUGGAAGUUUCGCAUGUUUCUAAUCUUCCCAUUGAUGUUCUGAAUGAAGACAUAUCACAGACUGUAAAACAGAAACACCCAAACCUGGAUGUUGUGUGCUUGGCCAAGGAAGUAACAUUUAAAGGCUUCAGCUACAGAGAAAGUAUGGUCAUUGCUCAUGGCGAAUGUUCAGGGCUUCCAGAGUUUGGCGAAAUUUUGCAAAUUAUUGUGUUGCAGGACAAACCACUGUUCAUUGUCAGGAGACUAGAUGCAUGGUAUACUGAACAUUACAGAGCCUAUGUCUUGGUCCAGUCAUCUGACAAGAAAAUUGAACUUUUAGAGCACCAUGAUCUUACAGACCCAUAUCCACUGGUUCAGUACACAAUUGGGGGGAGACGCAUGGUGGCUCUGAAGAGAUAUAUACAUGUGUAAGAAUCUGUUAAGGAUGUCAGGAAGAAGAUCUGCCAAGCUUUUGGUGAUUGUGAGUGAAGAUGAUUCAAGAAAGUUGCUUCUGCCAGAUGGGAUUCCCGAAUCAGUGGAUGAGCUCGUUGAAAAAGUGAGGGAAGCUUGUGGAUUAAAGGGUAAAUUCAGACUACAGUAUCAGGACAAAGAUUUUGGGGAUGUAUUUGUAAAUUUGACAAACACUGGAGAACUUCAGAGUCUUUGCACUCUAAAGAUAAUCCCUUUGCCAGACGAAGAAUCAUUCACUGUUCAAACAAAUGAUGGGACCCAGUCUAACGAUGAUACUCUGUCCUCCUUUGGCUCUGGCGACACUGAUGAUACUAUCAUCCUCUCACCCCCUGGCUCGGAAACAGUUUCUACAAGAAAUCAACAGUGGCCAAAGGAAUUUAAUAUUCCACGCUUUUCUUAUGACACUGAACUCCAAUUAGAGAGAGGAAAUUCUCUUUUUAAGGCUAACGGAACAAGGCUGACUGUCGCUCCAAAGAUGAAGUCUGAUAUUCUGGAGAAGAUAUGUGAUGAGAUCUACAAGUAUAAAUCUUAUCCCAGCAGUGCAAACUUCUGCGAAGUUUCAGAGGCACUUAUCAAGAAACACCCUUGCUUGGCAGAAAAAGGAUCCUUCAAUGGUUGCUACGGGUGGACACAGAGAUUUAAAAUGAAGAUGGGAAACCUACGCACACAGUUGAAAGGUCUUGGAUGCCCUGAGUUUUUGGCAAAUUCCCUGAAAACCAAAGCCUCGGAUAAUGCUUUUCCAGCAAAAAAUGUUAAACGACCUAAACGUGGCGAGGCCAAUCAUAUCCCAUCCGUACCUGCUGGAGUGUCAUCAGAAAACCUUGAAACUGAGCGCCUGGCACUUUUAAAGGAAGUGAAGAAAAGAAACAACGCAUGCACAAUCAGAGAAAAAAUGACAAAGACGUUUGCCUUACGCAGACGAGAAGUUGUGGAAAACCAACCUAGUGUUCAGGAACUGCAAGAAAGGUGGCCAGCUCUGUUUCAACAAGAGGAGAUUAAUGCUGAAUUUUUGCGCAUCACGACUUUACCUUUACAAUCGAGAUUUUUGGCUUCUUUGGACAGACAGAGCUCUCAGCUUCUCCAGGUUAUUAGAAGCAAAGGUGGAGUCCUCCGUGAAAAAACUAAAGACACUAUUAAAGUUAUGGAUCAGAGUCUGGACAUAGACAUCAGAAGAGAGUGCCUGCUGAAGUGCCUCAUCAUGUACCUUGGUGAAGAUGCAAGCUGUCUGAUCAAAGAAUACCAGGUAAUGUUGACAUUGCAAACCACUGAAAUUUUGAACUAGCCCUUUAAAGGAGUAGUUGACCUUCAAAAUGAAAAUUCUGUCAUCAUUUACACACCCUCUUGUCGUUUCAAACCUGUGUGACUUUCUUUCAUCCGCAGAACACAAAAUAUAUUUUUAAGAAUGUUGUUAACAGCCCCCCAUUCACUUGCAUUGGUUUUGUGUCCAUAAAAUAGAAGUGAAUGGGAGCUGUGCUAUUCUGUUACCAACAUUGUUCAAAAUUCUGCAGAAGAAAAAGGUCAUACAGGCAUGAAAUUACAUCUGUAGAUGAUGAUGACAGAAUUUUCAUAUUGAAAGUCAACUACAAGUGCUAGUUCACCCAAAAAUGAUAAUUCUGUCAUUUACUCGGUCCAAACCUGUAUGACU